AGUGUCCCAAGUGGCCAGUAUGCCACCUUUGCCUGAUCCAUCAGGCAGGCAUUGGGCCAUAGCAGGAAAUGGAGCCUGCACUGGCUCAUAGAACUCUGAAACUGCUAGGGGUCCCAUCGUAGCACUCUGGUAGCAAUACCCUGGGUUUGGGUUCUGAAGGCAACAUGGGCCAUGGGGCUGUGGGAGACGUUUUCGCUUGCAGUCCUGUGGUCUGUUUUUGCAGGGAGCGGUUUUCUGCCUGAAGCUGAUCCACUGUGGCCAGUAAGGCUUGGUUUUUCUGCCUGUAGACCAGUGAUCUGCUCCUGGAGGCUCAGUGUCUCCAUGGGCCCUGAGGUGCUGUACUUGUGGGCUCCAUACCUUUUUGCUGAAGCUAAGGGCAGCAGGCAAAUGCCACUCAUUCCAUCCUGUUGCUGCAGGAGGUAAGAAGGGACUGAAUGACGAUUCCAACUGUCCUGCCUUUUAUGCUGUUGGAGGAGAGGUGCAUGAGCAUGUGCAUGGAGCAGGCAUGACCCAAUGGACAUUGAUGUUCAAAGGAUUCUGAUCUCACAUGUAUGGGGCACAUCCACCUAAAGUGGGAUCCACAUGGACACAUACUUGAAGAAGAAUACGAGAAUAAUAACAUUUCUCUCCUUUAGAAGGCUGUUGGAAGGCUAACUCCCUUAGCAUAUGUAACUUAGAUAUUAUGGUACUGGAGUUACAGGGAAGCCAACAAAUACAUACAUCAGUAAUCUUGGCA